rnacentral:rRNA from 1 species
AUGUGCAAGUCCAGCUCACACGCUCUCCCCUCCACCACCACCACCGUUCCUUCUUCCUCUCGCCGCCGCCGCCGAUCCCCUUCCACCACCACCGCCGCCGCCACCGCCUCCUCCUCUGCGGCCACGGCCUCCACCUCCUCCGGACCCCGCCACACCACCCAUACCUCAACAGCAACAACAAACACCGCAUCCUCCUCCUCCACCUCCUCCAGGUCCAGCCGCUCCAGCCUCGCCGCGGCGCGCGCCUCGCUCCCGGACCAGCCGGUCCUCUACACCUUCCACGAGCUCGCCGCCGCCACCAACAACUUCCUCGCCAAGCGCGGCGCCUCCGACAUCACCUUCUGGCGCUGCUCCCUCCGCUCCCGCCCCGCCGCGCUCUUCCAGCUCCACCCGCUCCCUGGAGGCCUCCUAACGCCCGCGGCCGCCUCCGCCGCGCUCGCCCGCGUCGCGCGCUACCACCACGCCAGCCUCGCGCGCCUCCUCGGCGCCUGCCCCGCCGGUGCCCACGUCUACCUCGCCUACGCCCUCCCCACCGGCGCCUGCACCCUCGCCGCAUACCUAUCCUCCUCCUCCUCCUCCUCCUCCUCCCGCGCCGGCGGCAGCAGCACCAGCGUGAUCCUCCGCACGUGGCUGUCCCGCGUGCAGGUGGCCGUGGACGUGGCCCAGGGCAUCGAGUACGCGCACGCGCACGCGGACGCCGCGCACGGCCGCAUCUCGCCGUCCGCGGUCCUGCUCGUCCCCGACGCCCACGGCGGCCAGGGCGUGCGCGCCGUGCUCACCCACUUCGGCGCGGGCCACUUCGCCGCCCCCGACGACCAGGAGCGACCCUCCAAGGGAAAGGCGUCGGACGUGCGCGCGUUCGGGGUGCUGCUGCUGGGGCUGCUGUCCGGGGAGGGCGCGGAGAGCCGGUACCGGUUCGACCGCGCCACCAAGGAGUUCGCGCGCGUGUCGGUGGUGGACACGGCGGCGGAGGCGGUCCGGACCGGGCGGGUGCGCAGCUGGGUGGACCGGCGGCUGGGCGACUCGUUCCCCGUGGCGGCCGCGGAGAGGCUGGUGGAGGUGGGGCUGCGGUGCGCCGCCGAUGAGGAUAGCGAACGGCCGGAGAUGGCGUGGGUGGCCGGCAAGGUGUCGCGGGUGUACGUGGAGUCCCGGGCGUGGGAGCGCACCCUGCAGCCGCCCUCCGACGACCUUUCCUCCGUCGCACUCGCGCCGCGAUAG